rnacentral:misc_RNA from 1 species
UUACUUCAACAAAUUAUAUCUGCCUCCUUCCAUUCUUCCGACAAAGGCGUUAAGAGAAACUUUCCUGGGUGGCAACUUAAUUUUCUUGCCAAACAAACACGCUUCUCUCCCAAUUUCGACUCGCUGAUAAUAAAUGGAAAAAAAAGAACAGAAAAUUUAACUCAAGAGUUGACCUGUUACUCUUAGCUUACAGUUUUGUCAUAUAGCUGUUUUGCUUUUGUGACCCAGAAGUUACAAUUUACACCCGACGCCAUUAAAUUUCUAAGACUUCAAAUUCUCACAAUUUUUUUUUGGUUUUGAAACUUAGCAACCUUUGGAGGCUAUCAUUACCCAUUAAAUUCCCUUGCCAAUUCCAGAUUUUCAAGCCCUCCCUCCUCACGCGGUGCUGUUAGGGUCCAAAAUAAGGGAAGUGUCUCGACAGAAAACAUUCCAGUACACUACCCCCAGGGCGUGCAGUCCUCUGUCCAGCAACGUGACACAGGUUUUUUUUCAAUCCAGAUUUCUUCUCCAAGGAGUCGGAGAUACACUAUAUUUCGUAACGGAAUUCUUGAGCUUUCUCGAUUAUAAAUGGGCCGUUCUCGUGGCAAUUUUCACUCUGUUGAUGAGGACCCAACCCAGAGAUCAAGGAGAAAGAAGAACUCCGCUAGUGGAGAAAAUUUAGAAUCUUCAUCAGCAGGUCAGGGAACAGGUGAGGGGAAAAGGGCUUUGUACCAUUGCAAUUAUUGCAACAAAGAUAUAACUGGGAAGAUCCGAAUCAAGUGCGCGAUGUGCCCUGACUUUGACUUAUGUAUAGAGUGCUUCUCUGUUGGAGCUGAGGUGACACCUCAUAAAAGCAAUCACCCUUACAGGGUUAUGGAUAAUUUGUCUUUCCCUCUUAUUUGCCCUGACUGGAAUGCAGAUGAUGAAAUACUACUUCUGGAGGGAAUUGAAAUGUAUGGACUGGGAAAUUGGGCAGAAGUUGCUGAGCAUGUGGGGACAAAGAGUAAAGAACUGUGUAUCGAACACUAUACCAAUAUAUAUAUGAACUCUCCAUUUUUCCCUCUUCCAGACAUGUCUCAUGUAGUCGGGAAAAACAGAAAGGAGCUUCUUGCUAUGGCCAAAGGACAUGGAGAGGACAAAAAGGGUUUGUUAUAAUUUUUACAUAAAUUCCCCCUUAUUAUUUUUCUUCUUCUCUUUUUCCUUUCCUUUGUAGUAUGAGUCAGUGUGGUUGUACUUAUCAUAAUGCUAUGACCAUUCUUUAUAGAAUCUCUUUUUUAUAAAUUCUGUUUGAGUCAUAGGAUCUUCUAUGCUUGGAGAGCAUACUGUGAAGGAGGAGUCUCCAUUUUCUCCCUCCAGAGUCAAAGUUGAAGAAAUGCAUAAAGGUGGUCCUUCUGGGCGGUUACUAUCAAAUUUAAAUGCAGGUAAACUAUUAUGUAAUCAUGAUUAGCUUCUGAUGUUUUAUUCAAAAUGAAAUCCGAAAAGUCUUAUGGCUAUGAUCAACUGUCUGCCUUGUUUUGUUAAACUUCAGAUGUAGAAUCUGGGGUGCAUCCUAAUAGCUUAGAUGCAGCAGCAACAGCUGCUAUUAAGAAGGCAUCCAAAAUGGCCCAUGUUAAAGAUGGCCUCAGUGUUGUUAAAGUGGAAGGUCUGAUAUUGACAUUUCAUUCCUUGAGUAGAUUUCAUACUUGUUUUAUGAUGGUGGUGAAGUAGCAAUGCUUUAGGCCCUCAUAGAAUGUUUCUUCAUGAUGGCAAUUGUGGCAGAUUUGUGUAAUAUCAUAAAAUCAAUGCAUUAGUAAUUUUAUGUUGUUCUAGCUUUGGCAAAAUGAUACAUUUGCUGCAAUUUCUGUUAGUUCAUUUCCAAGUCAAAAGGUUACCUGCUGAAAUAUAGCUUACCCGGUUUAGGUAUUCUGAUGGAAGACUAGAAUGUGUACAGCUGAUAGAUAAUCAUGUUUUACUAAUGCUGUGUUGUCUAUAGACAUAAUAUGAAUUUGGUAGAACCACUCUAUUUUGAUCGUGACAAAUAUUGCUAGUAUUCCAUCAUAUUAUUUUUCUUUUGUUGGCAGAUCCUCAAACAGACAGGAGUUUUAAGGGGAAAAAAUUGAAUUCUUCUGGGAAUGACGGCUCUUUAGUUGAGUUGAGUGGUUAUAACCCCAAACGACAGGAAUUUGAUACUGAAUAUGAUAAUGAUGCAGAGCAGUUGCUUGCUGAGAUGGAAUUUAAAGAUACUGAUACUGAUGAUGAGCAUGAGCUGAAGUUGCGAGUUCUACGUAUCUAUUCAAAGAGGCUUGAUGAAAGAAAACGCAGAAAAGAUUUUAUUUUAGAAAGAAAUUUGCUAUAUCCAAAUCGUUUUGAGAAGGAUUUAUCUCCAGAGGAGAGGGCGCUAUGCCGACGUUAUGAUGUCUUCAUGCGUUUUCAUUCCAAGGAAGAACAUGAAGAUUUGCUUCAGACUGUUAUAGCAGAGCAUAGAACUCUGAAAAGGAUUCAAGAACUUAAGGAAGCCCGAGCUGCUGGUUGUCGUACAUCUGCCGAGGCGGAUAAAUAUCUUGAAGAGAAAAGGAAAAGGGAAGCUGAAGAAAGUUCUCACAGAGCAAAAGAAAGUGUCCAGGUUGGUCCAAGCAACCAGGGAGGUCCAAGCGUUUUCAUGGCUUCAGAGUCUGUCGGCAAGGAUUCAACUACGAGACCUGCUGGACACUAUGUUAAUGAUAUGGAUGCACUGGGCUUUUAUGAAACACAAUUACUAUCUGAAGCUGAGAAACGCCUCUGUCAUGAGAUAAAGUUGCCCCCACCUCUCUAUCUUAAGAUGCAGGAGGUUAUGACAAAAGAAAUCUUCAGUGGCAAUGUCACUAAGAAAUCUGAUGCUCAUCCCUUAUUCAAGCUUGAAGCCAGCAAAAUUGACCGAGUUUAUGAUGUUCUUGUGAAAAAGGGGAUUGCGCAACCAUGAUACCUCAUGUUUGUUCUGAAUCUAAACUCCAUUCAUUCUCCCUGAGAAAUGAAAAUAUACUUAAUUCUAUUAAAAAAAAAAGGUAAAAAACGAGAGCCUUUUCAAGGUGAAGACCGGUCUUUUACUGCUCAUGAAGGUUCACAUUGCAGGGUGGGAGGAUGGUGUAUCACUCCAUGGAUACACAUUCUACAAGAGAGAAGGGUUAUUUUUCAGUCAGAAGAUGUAAUUUAUGCUCUUUAAAUUACAUGAGAAGUCUUACACAAUGCUUUGGUUCACAAGCUUAUGAUAAAAGGUGGAUCAUUUGCUUUGGUCUCUUCAAAUGUUUUGGUGCUUUAGAUUCAAUAUUUCUUCUUCAAUUAUCAGAUAUUCUUUCUCUUAUUUUUAAUAAUGAUUUUUUUUAAUUAAUUUUAACCUGUGAUGGGAUUUUUAUUUUAUUUUAUUUUGUUAGAGCUA